GAUGAAGAACGUAGCGAAAUGCGAUAAGUAAUGUGAAUUGCAGAAUUCAGUGAAUCAUCGAAUCUUUGAACGCACAUUGCGCCUGCUAGUAGUCUGGCGGGCAUGCCUGUCCGAGCGUCAUUUCAACCCUCAAGCCCCCGGGCUUGGUGUUGGGGAUCGGCGAGCCUCCGCGCCCGCCGUCCCCUAAAUCUAGUGGCGGUCUCGCUGUAGCUUCCUCUGCGUAGUAGCACACCUCGCACUGGGAAACAGCGCGGCCACGCCGUUAAACCCCCAACUUCUGAACGUUUGACCUCGGAUCAGGUAGGAAUACCCGCUGAACUUAAGCAUAUCAAUAAGGGAGGA
rnacentral:misc_RNA from 1 species